UACGUAGGGGGCAAGCGUUGUCCGGAUUUAUUGGGCGUAAAGAGCGUGUAGGCGGCCAAACAGGUCAGCUGUGAAAACUCGAGGCUCAACCUCGAGACGUCGGUUGAAACCGUUUGGCUAGAGUCCGGAAGAGGAGAGUGGAAUUCCCGGUGUAGCGGUGAAAUGCGCAGAUAUCGGGAAGAACACCCGUGGCGAAGGCGGCUCUCUGGGACGGUACUGACGCUGAGACGCGAAAGCCAGGGGAGCAAACGGG
rnacentral:rRNA from 1 species